rnacentral:rRNA from 1 species
CUUGCUGGGGGAUUAGUGGCGAACGGGUGAGUAACACGUGAGUAACCUGCCCUUGACUCUGGGAUAAGCCUGGGAAACUGGGUCUAAUACCGGAUACGACCAUCUGGCGCAUGUCAUGGUGGUGGAAAGCUUUUGUGGUUUUGGAUGGACUCGCGGCCUAUCAGCUUGUUGGUGGGGUAAUGGCCUACCAAGGCGACGACGGGUAGCCGGCCUGAGAGGGUGACCGGCCACACUGGGACUGAGACACGGCCCAGACUCCUACGGGAGGCAGCAGUGGGGAAUAUUGCACAAUGGGCGAAAGCCUGAUGCAGCGACGCCGCGUGAGGGAUGACGGCCUUCGGGUUGUAAACCUCUUUCAGUAGGGAAGAAGCGAAAGUGACGGUACCUGCAGAAGAAGCGCCGGCUAACUACGUGCCAGCAGCCGCGGUAAUACGUAGGGCGCAAGCGUUAUCCGGAAUUAUUGGGCGUAAAGAGCUCGUAGGCGGUUUGUCGCGUCUGCUGUGAAAGACCGGGGCUCAACUCCGGUUCUGCAGUGGGUACGGGCAGACUAGAGUGCAGUAGGGGAGACUGGAAUUCCUGGUGUAGCGGUGAAAUGCGCAGAUAUCAGGAGGAACACCGAUGGCGAAGGCAGGUCUCUGGGCUGUAACUGACGCUGAGGAGCGAAAGCAUGGGGAGCGAACAGGAUUAGAUACCCUGGUAGUCCAUGCCGUAAACGUUGGGCACUAGGUGUGGGGGACAUUCCACGUUUUCCGCGCCGUAGCUAACGCAUUAAGUGCCCCGCCUGGGGAGUACGGCCGCAAGGCUAAAACUCAAAGGAAUUGACGGGGGCCCGCACAAGCGGCGGAGCAUGCGGAUUAAUUCGAUGCAACGCGAAGAACCUUACCAAGGCUUGACAUGAACCGGAAAGACCUGGAAACAGGUGCCCCGCUUGCGGUCGGUUUACAGGUGGUGCAUGGUUGUCGUCAGCUCGUGUCGUGAGAUGUUGGGUUAAGUCCCGCAACGAGCGCAACCNUCGUUCUAUGUUGCCAGC